UUUAUUAUAAGAAAAAAACAUAACAUUGAAUUAGAUGAAACAAAUUUAAUCUCAUACAGCCUCCCUGGUU
rnacentral:tRNA from 1 species